UUCCUCAAUAUUGUAAGAAAUACAUUAUUUUUCUUUUGAAGCUAAAAACAUCCAGCUAGAUAUUGAGGGAAAUGAUUGGAAAAUAUUCUAAUCCAAUAAAAUUUGGAUUGUCUACUAUCCUUUUCAAUCUGUCAUGGUUAGUCUUUUAUGCUUCAGUGGAAUACAGUUUUAUUUAUUUAUUAUUUCAUAUUGUUUUGAUUGAAUUGAUUCUUACAUGCAUGCAGGGCUUAGAGUGGAAGGAGAAAGGAGAAGAAUCUUCAACUAGAACAAUGUCUCUAAGCUUAAAGACAUUGUUUGAGCAGCUUGCAGUGGAAGUUGAGCCCAGUACCUCAGAAGCAUUGGAUCAAGAGAAAGAAGAAGUGUUCCCAGAUUUACCAAAUGAAGUUACCCAAGCAAGUGAACAGCAUGAUCGAUCAAGACCUAUUCCAAGAUUUUGCAGGGGAGAAAGCUCCCAAUUAAGGGAGACUUUAGAAGAUGAUGGACCGAUUGAUAAGCAAGAACCAGAUAAUCAAAGCAGAAGGAGGGGAGGGCACACUAAAACCCAGAAAGGUAGAGCUAAGAAACAGAUGUCGACUGAUCAAAGGAUACCUUUGUAGAUGCCGGAUUCAAAAUGGUUGAUUCAGCCUAACGCAACGUACAAAGACGAGAUAGAUUGGCUCAAUGGCAACAAUGAAGAUGACAGUGUGGUUCAUGGUGGAUUCAUCUGUUCAUCUAUUCCCUCUGAAUACAAGCACAAGGUCAACGCCCACGAAGGUGGAUGUGGUUCUAUACUGUUCAAUUACGAUUCUGAUAAGUUAAUUACUAGAGGGAAGGAUGGAACAAUCAACAUCAAGCGGCUCGAACUUGUAUUGGUUUGGUGUAGGCUCUGGUAGGAUCCUUCAUACACUAAAAGGACACACAGAUAAGAUCUGCACCGUUGAUUCUUCAAGGCAGUAUGUGGUCAGUGCUGGUCAGGAUCAAAGACUAAAAAUUUGGGACAUACAGGGUGGUUACUACAACACCACUGCCUACUUAGACAGCAACUGAAAUGCGCUUUGCAGUUGCAAUGAUGGAAGGAUCCUUUGGUCAGCUCGUGCCAACGGGAAGCUUUGUUUGUGGGGUACAAAUACGGCAUGGUGUAUCCAUGAAGUUGCCGCUCAUCACAGCUCCAUCACAUCAAUCUCUCAGUCUGGAUGUGGACGCAUUUUGUUGACGAGUGGAAGGGACAAUGUGCACAAGUUUUUCGACAUACGAACCUUCAAAGUCUGUGGCAAGUUUAGAGUGAAAGGACAUAGCUUGGCAUUAAAUCAGAGUCGUUCAUGCAUGAGCCCAGAUGACAAUUAUGUUGCAGCGGGGUACGCCGAUGCAUCUAUUUAUGUCUGGUUGAGAUUAAAAGGGGAGACAGUGGGUACCUUAACGGGCCACACAGCUCCUGUUCUUUCAUGUUCGUGGAGUGGGCUGGGAAUGCCCCUUGCUUCUACUGAUGAGAAUGGAACAUUAUGCAUAUGGACAUGAUAGUUUUCAUUUUUCUUGAUUUUCCAUGUGGUAAUAACUGUAAUAAGACAUUUGUGUCUUAUGUGUUUCCCAUUAUGCCCUUUCUCAGUGGCAUUAUUUUAUCAUAUUAUAACUUCAACGCUAUGUAGUAAUCAAAUUA